UGGUUGACAUUAAGAAUACCAACAUGACACAGAAGAUGAGUGAUAAUUUAAACAUUUAGGAAUUGUCCUAAAAGGCAGACCAAUGGUCUGCGUAGUCCAAUAUCCUGUUACUAACAAUAGCCACCAUAAGAUCCUUUCAAAGGUAAAUCUGUUCAUUUCCCUCUAGUUUCUGCAUUCAUAACAUAGGAGAUAGAAUAUUAUAUCAAAGCUGGCAGACUUCCCUUACUAGACAAGCUGAUAAAAAUCUAC
rnacentral:lncRNA from 1 species